UACGUAGGGGGCUAGCGUUGUCCGGAAUCAUUGGGCGUAAAGAGCGUGUAGGCGGUCCGGUAAGUCCGCUGUGAAAGUCAGGGGCUCAACCCCUGAAUGCGGGUGGAUACUGCUGGGCUAGAGUCCGGAAGAGGCGAGUGGAAUUCCCGGUGUAGUGGUGAAAUGCGUAGAUAUCAGGAGGAACACCGGUGGCGAAGGCGCCACUCUGGGCCGAAACUGACGCUGAGGAGCGAAAGCGUGGGUAGCAAACAGG
rnacentral:rRNA from 1 species